AAGCCCGAUGCAGCAACGCCGCGUGGGCGAUGAAGGCCUUCGGGUCGUAAAGCCCUUUUUGAGGGGAUGAGGAAGGACAGUACCCUCAGAAUAAGCCUCGGCUAACUACGUGCCAGCAGCCGCGGUAAAACGUAGGAGGCGAGCGUUAUCCGGAUUUACUGGGUGUAAAGCGCGUGCAGGCGGUAUGGAAAGUUGGAUGUGAAAGCUCCCGGCUUAACUGGGAGAGGUCGUUCAAAACUACCAAACUAGAGUACAGGAGAGGGGAGUGGAAUUCCGAGUGUAGCGGUAAAAUGCAUAGAUAUUCGGAAGAACACCAGUGGAGAAGGCGGCUCCCUGGGCUGAAAC
rnacentral:rRNA from 1 species